rnacentral:rRNA from 1 species
CCUACGGGUGGCAGCAGUGGGGGAUAUUGCACAAUGGGGGGAACCCUGAUGCAGCGACGCCGCGUGUGUGAAGAAGCGCCUCGGCGCGUAAAACCCUGUCAGCAGGGAAGAAAAUGACGGUACCUGAAGAAGAAGCCCCGGCUAACUCCGUUCCCGCCGCCGCGGUAAUACGUAGGGGGCAAGCAUUAUCCGGCUUUACUGGGUGUAAAGGGGGCGCAGACGGCGAUUCAAGCCAGGAGUGAAAGCCCAGGGCCCAACCCCGGGACUGCUGUUGGAACUGCGUGGCUGGAGUGCAGGAGGGGCAGGCGGAAUUCCUGGUGUAGCGGUGAAAUGCGUAGAUAUGAGGAGGAACACCAGUGGUGAAGGCGGCCUGCUGGACUGUAACUGACGUUGAGGCCCGAAAGCGUGGGGAGCAAACAGGAUUAGAUACCCCAGUAGUC